GACGAACGCUGGCGGCGUGCUUAACACAUGCAAGUCGAACGGAAAGGCCCUGCUUUUGUGGGGUGCUCGAGUGGCGAACGGGUGAGUAACACGUGAGUAACCUGCCCUUGACUUUGGGAUAACUUCAGGAAACUGGGGCUAAUACCGGAUAGGAGCUCCUGCUGCAUGGUGGGGGUUGGAAAGUUUCGGCGGUUGGGGAUGGACUCGCGGCUUAUCAGCUUGUUGGUGGGGUAGUGGCUUACCAAGGCUUUGACGGGUAGCCGGCCUGAGAGGGUGACCGGCGAAAGUGGGACUGAGAUAGGGCCCAGGGGCGUACGGGAGGCAGCAGGGGGGAGUAUGGCACAGUGGGCGGAAGCCGGUUGAAGCAGCGCCGGGGGGGGGAUGACGGCCUGCGGGGUGUAAACCGAUUUCGCCUGUGAAGAAGCGGGAGUGACGGUAAUGGGUAAAGAAGCACAGGCUAACUACGUG
rnacentral:rRNA from 1 species